rnacentral:piRNA from 1 species
UCUACAGUUACAGUUUUCACA